CAGUCGCCGCGGUAAUACGUAGGGUGCGAGCGUUAAUCGGAAUUACUGGGCGUAAAGCGUGCGCAGGCGGUCGUGUAAGACAGGUGUGAAAUCCCCGGGCUUAACCUGGGAACUGCGCUUGUGACUGCACAGCUAGAGUAUGGCAGAGGGGGGUGGAAUUCCACGUGUAGCAGUGAAAUGCGUAGAGAUGUGGAGGAACACCGAUGGCGAAGGCAGCCCCCUGGGCCAAUACUGACGCUCAUGCACGAAAGCGUGGGGAGCAAACAGGAUUAGAUACCCGUGUAGUCCCUGUCUCUUAUAC
rnacentral:rRNA from 1 species